rnacentral:lncRNA from 1 species
UCCUUGUAUAAUUUCUUUAGGUUUAUCUUUAAUACCUAAACUGUUUAGGUGAAUAUUCUGAAAAAGCCGUCCAACAUUUUCUAAAAUAUACAUAAACUAAUCAGAUGACCCCAUCUUCGCCCCUUAGGCAAUAGCCUUUCACAGUUCCUCUUUUAUAUAAAAACCAAGCAUAGAGCCAAACUUUCACAAUCUAUCACACCUCUGUAUCUUACUUUUUUUUCAUUCAUUUUUCCCACCAAUACGAGAAAGUGUAAUAUUACAUUUUGUUCGAGAGAUAACAUUUAACAUGUCACAUAUCUAGAAGUGUAUAUUCUCAUUUUAUCUUAAUUUAUUAUCAUAAGUCAUAUCGUUUCUACUUUAUCGAAAAAAUGCUGCAAUUAAUUACAGCGGCAUACCUAGCAUCGCCGCUUAUGAUCUAUGUACCACCAAUUCGGAGGUUGAACAUGUUGGUGGAGUCAUUGGAAUUUCUUCUCCGUCAUAUAACAUCAAUGUGUAAUAUCAAUACUAUCCUUCGUUUUCGCCUUUUCUUCUCCACAUACAUCUCCAUCCCUCCUGUUCUCCUUUCCUCUCCUUCGCCUCCAACUCUAAGGUAGUAGAUGUUCCUCCACUUUUAUUUUGUAGCAAUUUUUUCGGCUUCCAAACGAGCAUCUGAAUAUCAAGAAGAAUAUUCAAAAGGAAAAAUCAAACAAGAAUUUCCACCAUUUUAAUUUUAGCAAGGGAAUAUAAAAUUUUCAAUUUUCUUGUUAGAAUCGAUUGUCUUUGUUUUUUAGUCUCUUUUAUGUUUUGAAGAAUUCUUCUUUUUUGGAUUUGUUCAUAGUAGAGUCCGGGGCGGAUCUAGAGCAAAGUUUACGGGUUUUCGUGAACCCAAUAACUUUUGCAUAGACUUUGUAUUUGUACUAAAAAAAUUCAUUAAAAGUAUAAAAAUAUUUAGCAAAGCUAUAUAGUUUUUUGAAGUAAUAAUACAGUUGGAAGUUGUUUCACGAGGGAAAAGAAAAAUAAAAAAAUUCCCUUAUUUAUAAGGUUAGAUGUAUUUAGGUCCUUGAUAUAUGUUAUUGACCAUAAAUAAACGAUUUAAAGCGGGACACUUUAGUGAUAAUAAAAUAGAGAAAAACAUAUAAUAAUAGAAACUUAAUACUCUAGUAACUAACUCAAAGUAAUGGCGUACCUAACAAUAAAACAAGCUAAUCAAGGAUAGAACAAAAAUCUUACCCUUAUUUGCAUGCGAAUAGGAUGACUUUCCA